rnacentral:rRNA from 1 species
CUACGGGUCGCUCCAGUGGGGAAUAUUGGACAAUGGACCAAAAGUCUGAUCCAGCAAUUCUGUGUGCACGAUGACGGUUUUCGGAUUGUAAAGUGCUUUCAACAGGGAGGAAGUUCUGACGGUACCUGUAGAAGAAGCGACGGCUAAAUACGUGCCAGCAGCCGCGGUAAUACGUAUGUCGCAAGCGUUAUCCGGAUUUAUUGGGCAUAAAGGGCAUCUAGGCGGCUUAGUAAGUCUGAUGUGAAAAUGCGGGGCUCAACUCCGUAUUGCGUUGGAAACUACUAAGCUAGAGUAUUGGAGAGGUAGGCGGAACUACAGGUGUAGAGGUGAAAUUCGUAGAUAUAUGUAGGAAUGCCGAUGACGAAGGUAGCUUACUGGACAAUUACUGACGCUGAAGUGCGAAAGCUAGGGGAGCAAACAGGAUUAGAUACCCUUGUAGUC